CCUCUCCUCAGACCGUCACGCCUGUCCUCUCCUCAGACCGUCACGCCUGUCCUCUCCUCAGACCAUCACGCCUGUCCUCUCCUCAGACCAUCACGCCUGUCCUCUCCUCAGACCAUCACGCCUGUCCUCUCCUCAGACCGUCACGCCUGUCCUCUCCUCAGACCAUCACGCCUGUCCUCUCCUCAGACCAUCACGCCUGUCCUCUCCUCAGACCAUCACGCCUGUCCUCUCCUCAGACCAUCACACCUGUCCAAUCAGUGGACUGUAACUCCUAUCCUGUCUUUGGGACACCAGAAGGGUAGAUGGUUACAGCCUACUACUCUGCUAUUGAAGCUGAUUCGGAGAGUUACAGAACCAAUAAGGGUUUGGACGUAUUCAUCUUCUUCUUCAUCGGUGUGGCUGGAAUAUUGUGACAAUGCCCUCCGUCAAGAAGGCUCUGCAUUUUCUGGGUAGCGCGCUGGCUACUACGGUAUCCGUGGCGAUUUUAGGUUAUGGGAUGUCGACAGAAUGGGCCGUUUCCAAAAUGCUUUGCUCUGGAACUGACAACGUUUUCACCAACGGCUCCGCCAACAUAUCAUAUGAGCUUUUCUACGGGGCGAUCGCCAGAGGCUCCUGUCCGGUGUUCGGAGGUGAAAAGACAAUUCAAGUGUUUGAGAAGUUGGCAGAGACAGGUGGAGCUCCUCAGAUCCUCCAUGGCAUAGUGAUCACCCUCCUGGCCCUGUGUCUACUCUGCUCUGCUGGCAGCAUCCUCGUCACGCUGUACAACAGCGUCAGUAACCCCUACCAGACGUACAUGGGACCCAUAGGGCUCUACACAUGCAGCUCUGGCAGUGCGUGCUUCUCCUUCCUGGUGCUCAUCCUGUACGUAGUGAACGUCCAGCUGACCGAAAUGUCUGAAGACCUGGUUAAGAACGACGUGGGAGGCGGUUCAGUCUACCUGAAGGACAAGACCUCGGAGUUCCAGGCGGGAUACUUCCUGCUGAUCCCCUACAUGGUGCUGAGUCUGCUCGCCAUCCUCCUGGUGUAUCUGUUUGAGCACGCUGCCUACACACACAGACAGGAGCAGCACAGGCCCACGGAGGACACUCCUAAAGAGAUCAUGAUGUAUUAAUAUAUAUAUACACACACAGACAGGAGCAGCACAGGCCCACGGAGGACACCCCUAAAGAGAUCAUGAUGUAUUAAUAUAUAUACACACACACAGACAGGAGCAGCACAGGCCCACGGAGGACACUCCUAAAGAGAUCAUGAUGUAUUAAUAUAUAUAUACACACACACAGACAGGAGCAGCACAGGCCCACGGAGGACACCCCUAAAGAGAUCAUGAUGUAUUAAUAUAUAUAUAUACACACACAGACAGGAGCAGCACAGGCCCACGGAGGACACUCCUAAAGAGAUCAUGAUGUAUUAAUAUAUAUACACACAGACAGGAGCAGCACAGGCCCACGGAGGACACCCCUAAAGAGAUCAUGAUGUAUUAAUAUAUAUACACACACAGACAGGAGCAGCACAGGCCCACGGAGGACACUCCUAAAGAGAUCAUGAUGUAUUAAUAUAUAUACACACAGACAGGAGCAGCACAGGCCCACGGAGGACACUCCUAAAGAGAUCAUGAUGUAUUAAUAUAUAUAUACACACACAGACAGGAGCAGCACAGGCCCACGGAGGACACCCCUAAAGAGAUCAUGAUGUAUUAAUAUAUAUACACACACACAGACAGGAGCAGCACAGGCCCACGGAGGACACCCCUAAAGAGAUCAUGAUGUAUUAAUAUAUAUACACACACACACACACAGGAGCAGCACAGGCCCACGGAGGACACCCCUAAAGAGAUCAUGAUGUAUUAAUAUAUAUACACACAGACAGGAGCAGCACAGGCCCACGGAGGACACCCCUAAAGAGAUCAUGAUGUAUUAAUAUAUAUACACACAGACAGGAGCAGCACAGGCCCACGGAGGACACCCCUAAAGAGAUCAUGAUGUAUUAAUAUAUAUACACACAGACAGGAGCAGCACAGGCCCACGGAGGACACCCCUAAAGAGAUCAUGAUGUAUUAAUAUAUAUACACACACACAGACAGGAGCAGCACAGGCCCACGGAGGACACCCCUAAAGAGAUCAUGAUGUAUUAAUAUAUAUACACACACACACACACAGGAGCAGCACAGGCCCACGGAGGACACCCCUAAAGAGAUCAUGAUGUAUUAAUAUAUAUACACACAGACAGGAGCAGCACAGGCCCACGGAGGACACCCCUAAAGAGAUCAUGAUGUAUUAAUAUAUAUACACACACACACACACACACACGUCAGGAUACAGAUUCAUGAGAUCCUGACUACAACAUCUCCCUGACAGACUGACACUGACACUGUGUUGAGUAGUAAAACCCAGUGUCCUUGAAAUAGGCGUGUAGGAUCCAGGACUGACCCGAGCUCUUAUAACAUAUCUCACAGGCUAAUAUAUAAUUAACUCAGAUCACCUUGUUUCAUCGUUACUACAUUUUCCUCUUGCUCUCUGUUUAUAUAUUUAUGAAUAGCUGACAUUUACAAUCCAAUUGAAUUCAAAAUGCUUUUAUAAAAUGACACUGCCUGCUUAGUAAAAUAGCGUAAGGUUAAUGGUGUGUUUAGCUAAAAACAGAAGUAUACAGCAAGUUGAUUACACUACUAUAUAGUUUGUUUUGUUAAAUACCAGUAGACAAUACAUUGGUUUCUUCCAUAAAUACAUCAUAAUAUAUAUCCUCUAAAAUGUCAAUUCUAAUAAUAAACAGUGUGGAUAUUUUGGA